rnacentral:lncRNA from 1 species
UGUAUAAAAACUACAAUUUUAGUCCUCUAAGAUUUAGCCCAUUUGCAUAUUUGGUCCUUUUGGUCAAUUUUGAUCAAGUCAACGCUGAAUGGCAUGCCACACGUACAAUUUUUUAAUUUUAAAAUAAAAAGAAUUCCAACUCACCAAUUAAUAUUAAAAAGACAGAUUAAAAUUUUAAAAAAAAAAUCAUCAAUAUUCAAUCCACACAAAUCAUACCCAGAAAAUCUUCUUCUCUUUUCUCUUUCACGCGAACUCUUCAAUCUUCUUCUUCUCUGGAAUAAAGGAUACCAACAACAAAACAUACUUUUCUUUCUCUCUCUUCACACACAACCAACAACAACGGCAAAAACAUGCCUUCAAUGAGCUCGUCGCGAUAAUCGUUGAUGUUGUUCUUGCUGCGAUUUGGGAGAGCCAACAACCUUGAACACACUGACAUGCUUGCUUCAUUAUUUGACUCAUUCCUAAUGGCAGGUCCAACGGAUAAACACUAGGGUUCUCUCUCUCUCUCUCUCUCUCUCUCUCUCUCUCUCUCUCUAAGUACCCUUAUGGCUUCCAGUUCCAAAUCAGUGAAAGUAUUCAUAAUAACACCAUCAAACAAUGAUAAUUUUGGACACACACUUGAUUAAAUCGGGUCUGGAAUCACUUUAUUAUACGGGUCUGAAAGAUCUUUGACAUGGAAUGGAAUAGAAAAACUAGGAACAUUUACUGUUUCAUAAUUUGAUUCGAAGAACUGAGUUGAAGCAACUUCAUCAAGGUUUGGAAUAGUGAGAAACAAAGAGAAUAAAACAGCUACUGAGGACAAGAAAAGGUAACACAAGGUUGAAAUGUGCUCUCUAUCGUUUUUUUUUUUAAUUUUAUGGGUUCAGAUGCAGGCUUAACUUUGGUUGUGGUGGUUGUCUUUUAGCACUUGCAAUUGGGAUAAUAUUAGUGAUUGUAGAAUUUGUUGAUUUUAAUAUUUAUUUAGACUUUCAUUGUUUGGGGUUCUGGAUAUUUAAACAAUGAUAAUAUUGGUGAUUGUUUGUUGUUGUAGAAGAUGAAGACUGUUGCUCUCAAAUGCCAAGCCUUUUCAAUUUUCUUUUUUCUUUAUUUUUUAAUUCAACUAAUUACAUGCGUGGCUUUUAGUUUUUUUUUUAAAUAUUGAUAUACACACGUGGCGUGCCACCUCCUUGAACUGACAAAUCAGCGUUGACUUGGUCAAAAUUGACCAGAAGGACCAAAUAUGCAAAGGGGCUAAAUCUUAGGGGACUAAAAUUGUAGUUUUUGUACAUAGGGGGUUAAAAUCGCAACUUUUUAAAAGUUAGGGGGAGAAAAGUGCACUUUAGCCUUGUUUAAUUCUUCAUCCUUAUACUCACAAAAUCCAUAACCUUUUGGUUUUCUAAUCUCUCUAUCAAUAACUAAUAUGUACAUAAGAGAAAAAAUCAACCCACUUAUACCAAAGAAGACUUCUUUUUAUCAAACUAAAACAUACCCACAACUACAAAACAUAAAAAACACUUUUCCAUUAUUGUUCAUCUUCACCAAAUUGAACUAUCCAUAGUGAACGUUAUCUUCACAAACAAAUAAACCAGCCAUGAAAGUUAAUUUCAGAAAAUUCAGAGUAUAUGAUUGUUCAUCUUUUCCAUUAUUAUUUUCAUCUUCACCAAAUUAAUUACAAAUUCAGAAAAUUAGGAAUGAAAAACCCAUAAAAUAAAAAUAAGAAAUUAAAAAAAAAAAUCAAAACCAUAUCAAUUUUUGAUCAAAUUAAUCAAAUCAUCACAAAAUAUAGAGAAAGUGAACGAGAUUUAGAUGUUAAAGAUGGUGAUGGUUAUGAUGGUUCUAUUGAGAGAGAGGAGGGGGGAGGAGGUAGAGAGAGAAAGUGAGAAAUUGGAUGAUUGUGUGGUUGAAGAGAAAGGGAGAAAAAUCUAGUAUUGAGGGAGCAUGAUAAAAGUAUGUUCUCCAUUUAAUUUAAAGGUUAAAACUUACUUUCCCAUAGAGGAAAAAAAGUCUUCUUUCCCAAAUUAAAUGACACCAUAAAUUGAACCCAAAGUAUUAAAGAUAAUAAUGUGAAAAGAACCCGUUGACGUGAUUUACACCCUAAUCAUUUGGCCAAGCUCAUCUAACUUAAAUUUAAAUCUGCCGUGAAUUUGAUUUAAGUUCAAGUUGUUAUACCAACAAUUUCUUUUUUACCUAUAAGAAAAGUUUGAGUGAGUUGUGUGUAACGCCCUAGUUGUUAUUAAUUAUUUUUAAUUUAUUUUAGAGUCUUUUGUAUGAUUUUAAUAUGAAUUAUGUUGAUUGGUGUUGAUUUUUGGUGUGCUAUACUUUAUUAUAUGAUUUAUUAUGAUAUUUAUUAGAAUAAUGUGAUAAUUAUUAUUAUUUUAAAAAUUGGGGAGUUAAUUAGAAUUUAAUUGAAUUUAGUGGGAAUGAGGUGUAAUUAAAGGGAGUUAUAAGGAGUUAAGAAAAUAGAAAGGAAGUUAAGUUAAGAGUUAGAAAGACAGAAAACUGUCUGUACGUACAAUUGAACUUUUGGGAGGAAAACAGAGAAAACCAAGCCAAAGGUAGAACAAGAGCAAGAGGGGAACGAUUUUGCUGUAGCUUUGUUUGUGCAAUUGAAUUCAGGUAAGGGUGAUGUUUACUCUCAAUGAUAAUGGUUAUAUAAUUCUGAUUUUGGUUUAGAAUAGUUCUAGUUGAAAUUGGGAAUUGGGGGUUAGGUUUUGGGAGUAUGAUUCUUGGAUUGAAAAGUGUGGAAACUAUGGCAAUUGUGUUAAGAAUUGAUGUUCAGGUUGUAGAAUAAUCAUAGGUUAAGUUUCCUAUCAAAUUUGGGGUUUCGGUUGCUGAAAUUUGUUUUUUUUGGGUGAAAAUUGUGCAGAAAUCGUAACAGCAAGGGAAAAACUCGCUAGGAGUUCGCUAUUAGCGAAACUCCCUGUAACUAUUUCGCUAUUAGCUCACUUUUCGCCAUUAGCGAACUUGCCCAGUGACAGCAUACCCUGUUUUAUGUUCUUGUGUCUUUUUUACACGUUUCUAUUUUGAAUUGGCCUUUGGUGUAAACAUGAAAGUUGUAGAUAAUUUUGUUAGCUUUCCAAUGGCUUUGGUUUGACGUGAAAAUGAUUUUUGGUUUUUGAGUUAUGAUGAAAAUACUCCAAGGAGGUCUUACUAAAAUCUUAUGAAAAUUCAGCCAUUUUCUGACUUUAGCUUCAUACACUAGGGGACCAAUAUGAACAUCCUAAAAUGUUUCUUUCAAUUUGUAUAACCUUAGAAAAGUAGUAAAUCUUACUGGAACUUCUUGGUGGCCAUGAUUGAUUGAAUUUGAUGAAUUUAGAUAUGAAUAUAUGUAUGAUACCAUGUGAAAUGCAUUGUCUAUUGGUGAUUGGUGGUCGUUGGAGUCGUUGAGUCAUAAUGGCUAGGUUGAGUGGUAUGUAGAUAUACCCAAGUUGAGUCCAUGACAUAACAUAAAAGCGGGAGGACUUAUGUCCUGGAACGCCUCGUCGUUCAAAGCGGGAGAACUUAUGUUCUGGAACGUCUUAUCGUUCAAAUUGGCGAGGACUUCGGUCCUGUGAAUGCUUUAACCAUUCAAAAUCCGGUGAUGACUUAUGUCCUGUAAAAUGGUACCACAUGCAUGUGUCUAGUUGCAUUUGUCGAGGAGUCUUAGUGGUGUUGUCAUGUCAUUGCAUGGGUCAUUGUCGGUGAUUGAAUGAUACUUUCUACAUAAUUGGUUGAAGUUGAUUAUGAUGAAUUUGAUGUGAACACGAAAUAUAUUUAAAUAUUGAAAUGUUGAUUAUAAUAGGGUGUUAGAUUCAAUUGAUGAGUUUUAUGUCUAUUAUUGUUGAUUGUGAAUCUCACCCCUUCUGUUUGAAUGUUGCCUCGACCGUGGGUAACGUGCAGGUGAUUCCGAGUAGUAGGUGUGGUGGCUCAACUGUCUAGGGCUCUGAUACGUACGGGAUGGGAAUUAGUUAUAUUUAUUUUCAUUUCUUAUGUAUCAAUUUUGGAAUUAUGUUGUGGAGCCUUUUUAUUGUUAUUUGAACAAUGUUGUUGACUUUAUGUUAAG